rnacentral:lncRNA from 1 species
UCUCUUUCUCUGUUAAUCUCUAAUCACAACUUUCUUAGCAGCCAUUCAAGAACUCCGUUUUAGAUUUAGCGUUGUGGAGAGUUUUGGAGUGUUCGUGUGAGGUUUGGAGCAGGUUGUGGAGUGUUUCGAGGCUGUGGUGGCGGGACGAUGAACAUCUUCGAAGAACUCCAUUAAUUUUUCUAGGUUUACGCCGCCGCUGGACGGUGGAUUUCCGGUCAUCUCAAGGCUGUGGUGGCAGGACGGUGGCGAAGAGAUUUCUUCGUUGCAGAAACUUGAGAAGGAUCUGGAAAACAGAUGGUUCAUGUUGAUGUAAAUUUGGAACUUGAAAGAUGAAAAUUGAACGUUGUGGUGAUUGGAGAUAAAGGUGAAGGUGAGGUAGGUAUAGAUGGGGGAAAUGGAGUGGUGUUCUUGAAUGUCAGCUAAGAGAGGUGGAUUUUGUUGAUAGUUCAACUGUAAGAAAAAGUCAACGAAGAAGAUUGAAGAAGAUAAAGGGGUGUGCAAUGGUGGAUUGGCAGAUUUGGGGUGAUUGCUGUGGUGGCCGGAUAUGGUGGGAGGAGGUGAUCGGUUGUUAUGGAGAAAGAACAAGAGGGGAAGAUGCAAAGACUAAACCCAAUUAA